rnacentral:lncRNA from 1 species
ACAUAUUCUAAUCGUCUUCGUUUCAUUCAGGGCUAUCGAUAUCAGAAGAAGGUCCUUCAAAAGGUAAAACCAAAACACAAACAAUCUCCAACACGUUAACUACAUUUGCAUAUUGCUCUGAAAACUUUCUUAACGUAGUCUGUUUCCAUUUCGUUGUCGAGUUCUGAUGCGAGAGGAAAUGAAGGUGCAAAAUGGGGGCGUAAAGACCGAGUAGAUUGAGUGAUGCUGAAGCUCUUCAACGUAGAACAAUGGAUAGGGGAUCAUUCUCUUUGGUGAAACCUACUGACUAGAAGUUAAUCAACCCGAAUCAUAGCUUUGGUUUUUGUGGGGGGUAGAAAAGGUUGUUAUUAGCUAAUGGUGUGUGCUAAGUAUUACUCUAAGUGUAGGGAGAGAUUUUUGUUCAGUUUGUAUCUCAGUUCUUCAGAUGGAUUUUCGGAUCAGUGUGUUCUGUUUGCAAUCCAAGAUUCCCAGUUUGUCUAGUGUGUUAAUAUAUUUUUGUGUGCAGAAGAAGCCAAUUGCUCAUGUCGUAGUGUUUAUUGUGGUAAGGUCAAUAAGGUCUGAAUAAUAAAGAUAAAACAAGGGUCAACCAGCCCGUCUAGCUCA